GAUUAUCAACUCCUGCACAUUAUAUGCAUAGUUUCAGUCCACAGUCAUUGCCCAACUUCAUAUUUUUCCAUUUAUAGUUGAACAUGGUAGAAAGUUGCAUAAAAAACGAAAAAGCUGUAGAAGUCGCUGGUGAUCUAAGACAAGAAAUGAUGGCCAAUGACAAUCAAAGAUGAUAGGCAAUAGCUGAUACACCAAUGAAUGUGUACCUAUGCAAUUCCCUUAUAGGUUUGUUCUCUUCCUUCAAAAAAAAAAACCGCUUAAAUUUAAAAAAUAA
rnacentral:misc_RNA from 1 species